AUACGUAGGGUGCGAGCGUUGUCCGGAAUUACUGGGCGUAAAGAGCUCGUAGGUGGUUUGUCGCGUCGUCUGUGAAAUUCCGGGGCUUAACUCCGGGCGUGCAGGCGAUACGGGCAUAACUUGAGUACUGUAGGGGAGACUGGAAUUCCUGGUGUAGCGGUGAAAUGCGCAGAUAUCAGGAGGAACACCGGUGGCGAAGGCGGGUCUCUGGGCGGUAACUGACGCUGAGGAGCGAAAGCGUGGGGAGCAAACAGGAUUAGAUACCCUGGUAGUCCAUGCCGUAAACGGUGGGCGCUAGGUGUAGGGGUCUUCCACGACUUCUGUGCCGUAGCUAACGCAUUAAGCGCCCCGCCUGGGGAGUACGGCCGCAAGGCUAAAACUUAAAGGAAUUGACGGGG
rnacentral:rRNA from 1 species